GUACACGCUGUGACUAGCAUAUCAAUAAGCGGAGGAAAAGAAACUAACAAGGAUUCCCUUAGUAACGGCGAGUGAAGCGGGAAGAGCUCAAAUUUGAAAUCUUCAAGGUUUUACCUUGACGAAUUGUAGUUUAAAGAAGUGUUUUCUGCUGAAGUUUUGGUAAAAGUUCUUUGGAAUAGGACAUCAUAGAGGGUGAGAAUCCCGUAUUUGACCAUUAUUUUCAGCUUUGUGAUACACUUUCAAAGAGUCGGAUUGUUUGGGAAUGUAGUCCAAAAUGGGUGGUAAAUUUCAUCUAAAGCUAAAUAUUGGCGAGAGACCGAUAGCGAACAAGUACCGUGAGGGAAAGAUGAAAAGAACUUUGAAAAGAGAGUUAAACAGUACGUGAAAUUGUCAAAAGGGAAGCGUUUGACACCAGUGUUGUUUUCUCGAAAAUCAAUUAAAAAUGGCUCGAUUUUGUAUUGCUGAGACCUUAAAAGCUCACUGUACAUUUUUCGUGUCUUUUUUAAUGCACUUUUCGUUUAACAAGUCAACAUCAGUUUCUUUUGUUGUAAAAGGGUCAUUGGAAGGUGGCUUUCUUUUCGGAGAAAGUGUUUAUAGCCUUUGGCCUCUGCAAUCGGAGAGACUGAGGUCUGCAGCGUAGACUCUUCGGGGUUAGAUACAUUUGUGCUAAGUUAUAGCUUUUUAUAGACAACUUGUUGACUAUAAUUAGUCUUGUAGCUUACUCGCUUAUGUUAUUUUACCUACGCUUAGGAUGUUGACGCAUGAGAUAUACGC
rnacentral:rRNA from 1 species